rnacentral:rRNA from 1 species
UACGUAGGGUGCGAGCGUUAAUCGGAAUUACUGGGCGUAAAGCGUGCGCAGGCGGUUCUGCAAGUCAGAUGUGAAAUCCCCGGGCUUAACCUGGGACUGCGUUUGAAACUACGGAGCUAGAGUGCGGCAGAGGGGGGGUGGAAUUCCACGUGUAGCAGUGAAAUGCGUAGAUAUGUGGAGGAACACCGAUGGCGAAGGCAGCCCCCUGGGCCGACACUGACGCUCAGGCACGAAAGCGUGGGGAGCAAACAGG